rnacentral:rRNA from 1 species
AUUGAACGCUGGCGGCAGGCCUAACACAUGCAAGUCGAGCGAGCGGCGGACGGGUGUGUAAUGUAUGGGAAACUGCCUGAUGGAAGGGGAUCACAACUGGAUACGGUAGCUAAUACCGCAUAUCGCCAGAUGUGCCCAGAUGGGAUUAGCUAGUAGGUGGGGUAACUGCUCACCUAGACGACGAUCCCUGGCUGGUCUGAGAGGAUGACCAUCCACACGUGACCUGAGCCACGGUCCAGACUCCUACGGGAGGAAUCAGUGGGGAAUAUUGACCAAUGGGCGCAAGCCUGAUGCAGCCAGGCCGCGGGUGUGAAGAAGGCCUUCGGGUGGUAAAGCACUUUCAGCGGGGAGGCGUUACCCGCAGAAGAAGCACCGGCUAACUCCGUGCCAGCAGCCGCGGUAAUAC